GUGCUUUCUAGGGCAACAUUUAUACUAAAAUUUGGAUUAUACAGACGGUUAGCAUGACCCUUGUGCAAGGGUGAUAUGAAUUCAUGAUUAUUCCAUGUUUUU